CGCAGUGUGCUGUGUGUGUGUGUGUUUUUGUGUGUGUCUGUGUGUGUGUGUGUGUGUGUGUGUGUGUGUGUGUGUGUGUGUUAGCACAGGCCUGAAUGUCAGCCUUGUCUCUGCGUCUACGCUGUUCACCAUACUCCCAGAGUAGAGGAAAGGUCAGAGUUUCCCCCCCAGCAUGUGGAUGAGAAAGCAAGCAGCGUGCUGAGUUUAAGGUUAGAUAUGGAACACAGUGGGCUUAUCCACCGCACUGAGAAAAAAAAAUAUGACAUGUUGACUAUUACUGAUUCAGGUCAGAAGGAAGAAACCAAGUGUCUAUAGGAACGAAGUGUAUUUUGUAC